rnacentral:rRNA from 1 species
CUACGGGAUGCUCCAGUGGGGAAUAUUGGACAAUGGGCGAAAGCCUGAUCCAGCAAUGCCGCGUGAGUGAUGAAGGCCCUAGGGUUGUAAAGCUCUUUUACCCGGGAAGAUAAUGACUGUACCGGGAGAAUAAGCCCCGGCUAACUCCGUGCCAGCAGCCGCGGUAAUACGGAGGGGGCUAGCGUUGUUCGGAAUUACUGGGCGUAAAGCGCACGUAGGCGGCUUUGUAAGUCAGAGGUGAAAGCCUGGAGCUCAACUCCAGAACUGCCUUUGAGACUGCAUCGCUUGAAUCCAGGAGAGGUCAGUGGAAUUCCGAGUGUAGAGGUGAAAUUCGUAGAUAUUCGGAAGAACACCAGUGGCGAAGGCGGCUGACUGGACUGGUAUUGACGCUGAGGUGCGAAAGCGUGGGGAGCAAACAGGAUUAGAUACCCCGGUAGUC